rnacentral:ncRNA from 2 species
CCACUACCCCACGGGUGCCCAAAGCAUUGGGCUGAGAUUGUGCACUACUGCUGCGCCGGACCGUCUGAACCUGUCUGGUUAACACCAGCGAAGGAAGUGAGGACUUCAUAGUUG